rnacentral:tRNA from 1 species
AUUUAUAUAGUUUAUACAAAACAUUGCAUUUUCAUUGCAAAAAUAAAAACUUUUUUUUUAUAAAUA